AAAAGGCUGGGCAGACAUGGCAGUCUGGUAAUCGUUGUAAUCAGUCCCUGGAAGUCUUAUCAGACAUAGCAGAUGUGCCAUGAUGGUAAUGGACUGAACCUCUGAACUGCAAGCCAGUCCCAGUUAAAUGUUGUCCUUUAGAAAUGUUGCCAUGAUCAUGAUGUCUCUUCAUAGCAAUGGAAGCCCUAAGAAGUUUGUGCCAGGAACUGGGGUAUUGCUGUUGAUAGGCCUGACUAUGCUUUUGUUUGGAGGAAUAAGGAACCUUUGGGACUUUCGACUAGAAAAGCAAAUGGACAUUUUAAGCAGGGCUUAUGGGCCAUCCAGCAGCAAGGAAGACAGUGGUGCUGAGGGUGAUUUGAACUGUAGGGGCCUGGUCCGUGAGGUUUCAGAGAAGAAUUUUAGUGUGUUGCCUUGGCUGUGGUGUAUCUUCAAAGCAAUAGAACGGUGUCUAAAACAGCAAUAAACAAUC
ensembl:lincRNA 9430002A10Rik RIKEN cDNA 9430002A10 gene